UGGGGAAUCUUGCACAAUGGGGGCAACCCUGAUGCAGCGACGCCGCGUGAGCGAUGAAGCCCUUCGGGGCGUAAAGCUCUUUCGACCGGAACGAUAAUGACGGUACCGGGAGAAGAAGCUGCGGCUAACUACGUGCCAGCAGCCGCGGUAAUACGUAGGCAGCAAGCGUUGUUCGGAGUUACUGGGCGUAAAGAGUGCGUAGGCGGUUUUCUAAGUUCGGUGUGAAAUCUCCCGGCUUAACUGGGAGGGUGCGCCGAAGACUGGGAAGCUGGAGUGUGGGAAAGGCAGGCGGAAUUCCUGGUGUAGCGGUGAAAUGCGUAGAUAUCAGGAGGAACACCUGCGAUGUAGACGGCUUGCUAGAACAUAACUGACGCUGAGGCACGAAAGCGUGGGUAGCAAACA
rnacentral:rRNA from 1 species